rnacentral:rRNA from 1 species
GACGAACGCUGGCGGCGUGCUUAACACAUGCAAGUCGAACGAUGAUGCCCAGCUUGCUGGGUGGAUUAGUGGCGAACGGGUGAGUAACACGUGAGUAACCUGCCCCUGACUCUGGGAUAAGCGUUGGAAACGACGUCUAAUACUGGAUACGACUGCCGGCCGCAUGGUCUGGUGGUGGAAAGAUUUUUUGGUUGGGGAUGGACUUGCGGCCUAUCAGCUUGUUGGUGAAGUAAUGGCUCACCAAGGCGACGACGGGUAGCCGGCCUGAGAGGGUGACCGGCCACACUGGGACUGAGACACGGCCCAGACUCCUACGGGAGGCAGCAGUGGGGAAUAUUGCACAAUGGGCGAAAGCCUGAUGCAGCAACGCCGCGUGAGGGAUGACGGCCUUCGGGUUGUAAACCUCUUUUAGUAGGGAAGAAGCGAAAGUGACGGUACCUGCAGAAAAAGCACCGGCUAACUACGUGCCAGCUGCCGCAGUAA